rnacentral:rRNA from 1 species
ACGAACGCUGGCGGCGUGCCUAAUACAUGCAAGUCGAACGGUCUUUCUAUGGAAGCUUGCUUCCACUGAGAAGAUAGUGGCGGACGGGUGAGUAACACGUGGGUAACCUGCCCAUAAGAGGGGGAUAACAUCCGGAAACGGGUGCUAAUACCGCAUAGUUUUCUUGAUCGCAUGAUUGAGAAAGGAAAGACGGCCUUUGUGCUGUCGCUUAUGGAUGGACCCGCGGCGUAUUAGUUAGUUGGUGAGGUAAUGGCUCACCAAGACGAUGAUACGUAGCCGACCUGAGAGGGUGAUCGGCCACAUUGGGACUGAGACACGGCCCAAACUCCUACGGGAGGCAGCAGUAGGGAAUCUUCCGCAAUGGACGAAAGUCUGACGGAGCAACGCCGCGUGAGUGAAGAAGGUUUUCGGAAUCGUAAAACUCUGUUGUCAGAGAAGAACAAGUUGGAGAGUAACUGCUCCAGCCUUGACGGUAUCUGACCAGAAGGCCACGGCUAACUACGUGCCAGCAGCUGC